GACGAACGCUGGCGGCGUGCCUAAUACAUGCAAGUCGAACGCAGUGGGGACGGGUGAGUAAAACGUGGGUAACCUCCCAUCAGAGGGGAUAACACUUGGAAACAGGUGCUAAACCGAUACUGAUGGAUGGACCCGGGGUGCAUUAGCUAGUUGGUGAGGUAACGGCUCACCAAGGCCACGAUGCAUAGCCGACCUGGGAGUGGGACCGGGCAAACUGGGACUGAGACCCGGCCCAGACUCCUACGGGAGGCAGCAGUAGGGAAUCUUCGGCAAGGGACGAAAGUCUGACCGAGUAACGCCGCGGGAGUGAAGAAGGUUUUCGGAUCGUAAAACUCUGGUGUUAGAGAAGCGGUAUCUAACCAGAAAGCCACGGCUAACUACGUGCCAGCAGCCGCGGUAAUUC
rnacentral:rRNA from 1 species